AUUGAACGCUGGCGGCAUGCCUUACACAUGCAAGUCGAACGGUAACGGGCCUUCGGGUGCCGACGAGUGGCGAACGGGUGAGUAAUGUAUCGGAACGUACCUUUCAGUGGGGGAUAACGUAGCGAAAGUUACGCUAAUACCGCAUACGAUCUACGGAUGAAAGCGGGGGAUCGCAAGACCUCGCGCGAAUGGAGCGGCCGAUGUCAGAUUAGGUAGUUGGUGGGGUAAAGGCUCACCAAGCCGACGAUCUGUAGCUGGUCUGAGAGGACGACCAGCCACACUGGGACUGAGACACGGCCCAGACUCCUACGGGAGGCAGCGGUGGGGAAUUUUGGACAAUGGGCGCAAGCCUGAUCCAGCCAUUCCGCGUGCAGGAUGAAGGCCUUCGGGUUGUAAACUGCUUUUGUACGGAACGAAAAGGCUCUGGUUAAUACCUGGAGUUUAUGACGGUACCGUAAGAAUAAGCACCGGCUAACUACGUG
rnacentral:rRNA from 1 species